AGGCUGCUGCCUCAGGCAACACGCUUUCCGACUCCUUGGCUUCUUAUGUGAGGAAACCACAGCGCGGCCGGCAUCCCGAUAGUCGUGCAGGUCGUAAUCUGAAGGAGUGGCUGAGGGAGCAAUUUUGUGAUCAUCCGCUGGAGCACUGUGAGGACACGAGGCUCCAUGAUGCAGCCUACGUCGGGGACCUCCAGACCCUCAGGAGCCUACUGCAAGAGGAGAGCUACCGGAGCCGCAUCAACGAGAAGUCUGUCUGGUGCUGUGGCUGGCUCCCCUGCACACCGUUGCGAAUUGCGGCCACUGCAGGCCAUGGGAACUGUGUGGACUUCCUCAUCCGGAAGGGGGCCGAGGUGGAUCUGGUGGAUGUGAAAGGACAGACGGCCCUGUAUGUGGCUGUGGUGAACGGGCAUCUAGAGAGUACCCAGAUUCUUCUCGAAGCUGGCGCAGACCCCAAUGGAAGCCGGCACCAUCGCAGCACCCCCGUCUACCAUGCCUCUCGCGUGGGCCGGGCCGACAUCCUGAAGGCCCUCAUCAGGUAUGGGGCUGAUGUUGACGUGAACCACCACCUG
rnacentral:sRNA from 1 species